rnacentral:lncRNA from 1 species
CACACGCUGUUUGCUUGAACCCCGGAGUACUUGGUUGUGCAGAUACAAUCUGUAAAAUUUGUCUGUAAUGGGUACAUGCCUUCCCAUAGAAGGGGAACAAGGGACAUAAGGACACAGUCUGGACUGGAACUUUAAAUUCUCCAAAUUUCCUUUGUGCUCUUGCAGGAGAGGAACGAGGGCCAUGAUGGAGUGGUGAGGGUAUCGAAAGGAAGCGGUGGUAUUUCCAUCGGCACGCUGCUAUGGCUGCAGAGAGAGCAUGAUGCUCGGCUCCGCUCAGGAGGUGUAUGGAAGCUGUGAAACUCCCCACCGCAGGGCCUUGUGGAUGCUAAAAACUGACUGGAGUUCAAAAAGGGACCAGACACAUUCACAGAAGGAAAAAAAGCCAGUUGCACACAAAGACACAGCCUCCUCUUCAGGAAAUCCUUGAUCUGCAAAUUGAGCUGGCUGGGAAAGUAAUCUGAAGGUGAAUCACUACAGGCUUGUCCAGCUCUUCUCCUCCUCAGACAUCUGCCAUGGCUCCCUACCAGAUGCAGGGGAAGAUGGACCACGUUUGAGCUUAAGGA